CAACUUUCAGCAACGGAUCUCUUGGCUCUCGCAUCGAUGAAGAACGCAGCGAAAUGCGAUAAGUAAUGUGAAUUGCAGAAUUCAGUGAAUCAUCAAAUCUUUGAACGCACCUUGCGCUCCUUGGUAUUCCGAGGAGCAUGCCUGUUUGAGUGUCAUUA
rnacentral:rRNA from 1 species